AAUAUACCCACCUUCAGAGCCUCUGGCAGGUCCCACCUUCACAAGCAGGGGGUCCUGAUGAGAGCCCAAUGGCAAUCUGGACAUUGUACUUUAGGGAUUUGAUUCCACAUGAGUCAAUGUCAGCAUCACAAGAUGGGUCCCUGACCAGGAAAGCCCUUUGGGAGGCACUACUUAAGAAAACUCACUCUGUCUCUAACAACAGACCCUUGGAACCUUUCCAUAUUCUUACCAAGCACUGUCCCUCCUUUUCUCAUUUCUCAGGCAAUAAAAGUAAAGAUGACUAACCUGCAGCCCUGUAACCUGCAGCUCUGAGUGCUCUGCGGAUUCAGGUGCUCAUGGAGGCCCUGUCUUACCUGCAUGAUCAUCUCCUUGCAAAUACCCCGUCUCCUUUGAUCCUUUCUCCUUCCUUUGUACUCAUUUGUCAAAAACCCCAGCCCUUGUUAAACAACCGCUGACACCCCGUCCCCCACCCCUGCACCUACUCAGAGCAGCUGAAGGAUUUUCUUCCUUUCCCUUCCCACCCAGUCUUGCACAGCUGAAGGCUUUGCCUCAUCCACCACUGAGUAUUUGAGGCUCCCUCAUUUCUCCACCUCCAAACCUUCCCUUCUAAGAUAAUGGUGCACUCUGUCUUCUGUCCUGUUUGUAUUAGAUGAAGUGUACUUGCUAACAUCAAAACCAACCCCUCCAUUUGUGUCCCAGGUGAUGUCCGCUCUCCUCCAUGAAUUACCACUGUAAUUACUCUCUUCUAAUCAGCAAUUUCUUCCUCCCCACUGAAUCCUUUUCAUCAGAUACAUCAGAUAGAAAUGCCCUUUAAUAUCUCAAAGAGAAGAAAAGAAAACCUCUCUUGAUCUCAUAUCCCCUUCAGCUACUUAGAAGCCGGCUUGACAUCGUUUGGAUGUGUAACAGGCAUCUCAAAAAUCAAUGCAACUGAUGUGAGAACAUUAACUCCAUCCUCCACCACAGUCUCUUUUACCAGUCUGCCUUGUCUAAGUAGAUGACACCACCAUCCUAAGAGCUCAAGCCUAAAACUUAACUUUGAAUCUCCCUUUCCUUUACUCCUUGAAUCCCUAUCCUAUUUAAUGAAGUCUUACUGUUUCUAUAUGCAAAAUAUAUCUAUAUCCAUCCUCCCGCACCCACAUCUCCUGACUAGUCCAGCCUAGUUCAAGCCUCCAGUAUCUUUCACCUGCACUAUUACAGUGACUCCUCCAAAUGGUCUUCUUGUAUCCACUGACCACACAAAGAAGCCUGAGGAUUCUUUAUAAAAUUCACAUAGAUUACAUCAGUUCUCUGCACAAAAUCUUCUGAAGGUUUCUCACUGUGCUUAAUACUAACUCCAAACAUAUUACAGUGGCUUACAGGAUCCGUCUGGCCUGUUUCUUGCCUACCUUCUGUUCUCACCAUCUACCCUUCUGACUCCACCACACUUCCAAACACACUGGUCCUCAUCCACAGUGAACGUGUACUCGAUGUUCACUUCCCCUCAGAUGCUCUGCCCUUUCUCCAUCUUGCUGCUUGUCCCUCAAUUUUAGCUCAACCUCAAGGAGGCCAUCCAUGACUACCCCAUCUAAAGAAGCCUCCCACCAUCCACUGUUAAGAGGCACUCUGUAUUUUGCUCUCUUUGGUAUAGUUAUCUUUAUCCAAAAAUAUCUUGUUCAUUUGUUUUUGCCAGUUUACUUUCUAUCUCCCCACUGCUAACAUAUAUAAGUCAUGUAAGAAACGUUUGUAAGAGAUGCUGUCAGUACCUCUCCAUAUCCCCUUGGCACUCACAUUCCCAUGCUGGUUCACUGGGCGCUCCAGCUACAAGUGUCUGUAACCUUUGCUCAAGUGCCUUCUCUGGUCACAGGAGCACCCUGAGCCCACACAGGGCAGGAUGGAAGUCCUGGGGAGUUGACACCUGCCCUCGCCUCUGCUUCAGAGGCCCUCAAUCAACAACUGAUGGGAGUUGUGAAAUAUACAUACCAUCAAAUGUACUGAUCUUCUGGAAAAAGAUGGCAGAAUAGGAAGGCAAGGCAGAAACUGCCUCCAAAAAACACAUAAAGGAAGAAAAUACAGCAAAUACAACUAAACCUGAAAAUGACCUGAAGACUGCAGAACAGACACCUACACCUGAGGAAGAAGAGAAAACCUCACAGAAAAGGGUAAAGUGGUAGAGCCAUUACUGAGCAGGACCCAAGCCCUUCCCCCACCCCAGCCUACUGGUGGGAAAAAGAGUAAUGGGAUGGGGAGAGGGUAGGAGCCCAGGAGCCCUGCACACCUGGCCCUAGAGGUCUGCUUCCUGAGCACAAGCCCACAUUAUUAUUGGGUUCUGGUGAUUGGUGGGUGUGGAUAAAAUGAGAGUUCCUGUGGCCGGGAUUCUCAACUGGCCCUGGUUGACUAGCUCACUGCACACCUGUGGGCAAUUUGACUCUAUGUAAAGAGCUCCACCCAGUGCUCUGCGCGUGACACGGUGGCAGGGCUGCAAGGCUGCAGGAGAGCAGAGCCUGGAGUGGUGGCAGUGCCAAGGACAGAGGCCCAGAGGAUGGCUGUGCAGGCAGAGAGGCCCAGAGGCAGAGACUGGCUUGCUGCAUACAGACUCGCUCUGAUUGAAUGGGAUUUUAGUGACUGACCUGUCACCUGGAAAUGAAGUUGGGUAUAACCCUUUCACCCCAAGAAUAUUUUGCUGUCAAUUUCUUUGGUCACAUUGAAUCCAUAGCAAACUUGCCCGGGGCUGAAACCCAUUGGCAAGACAAUUGGUGAAAGUCGGCAGGGUUCAUUGUUGACCAAGGAAAAAGACAGGCUGCCCUUAUGGGAGGUGCUUCAGCGGGCUGCCCCUGUGAAUGAGGACACAGUGGAUCAUCCCCCAAUGGGUAUGUGGUCUGAGGUGGCUUGCCUCCUAGAGGACUGGGCCCCACCCCAGGACUGGAGGCAAGUGGAGGUGACACCUGAGGCUGUAGGGGUGGCUCUUGGUAUAGUAAGCAGAUCCUUUGAGAAGCAGAGUGCCCGUGAGGCAGCGGGGACUGUGGGUUGGCUGCUUCUCACAGUAUUAAAAAAGUCUACAGAGGAGACCCAAGAAAUGGUGGCAUGAGAACAUGAGCUGCAAACCUCUGUGGAUUCCCUGAGGAAGGAGAUGGCAUUGAUGCCAGAGGAGGCAGUACAAGAGCGCCGGCAGCAAAGUGCCAUUGGAGAUGAGAUGGCAGCACUGCCAGGUGUUGUGAAGGAGGAGGAAGAGGCCAUCAAGGAAAAAGACGAGCUCCUGAGGGAAGCACAGGCAGAGGUGGCAUGAGAACGUCAGCUGUGAAGCAUUGAGGUGAAGGUUUGCCGCGAGGGGGCGCCUCCUCCCGAGCUGAGAGCGCGCGUCUUCCACCGUUCACCACAGCCCCCAGGGGGCGCCUGUGCCUAAACCCCUGACCCGUGCGGCGCAUGCGCGCUGGUGCCUUGGACUGGGCUUCGCGUAGGGCAGACCGGAGCCGGGGCCGCGACUGCUUGCAGGCAGGACCGACGGCGGGAGAGAAAGGUCCUCCUCAACACCCAAGGCCCAGUGGCUGCAGGGGAAUCCUCCCACUUGCCUCCUGAUCACACUUGGACCCCUGCAAGAAGAGUAGACCUCCACUUCGUGUUAACUGGACGGGGGAGGGCAUGGCCUCCAUGAUGGGGUUGUCAUGUCUGCUCUGCUGUUUUUGAGGGACUGACGCGGUUGUUUUGAAAAGUAAUUUACUUUCCAGACAUGUCAGGCAUACAGAAAAUUUGCAGUGUCAGUACAAAUACUCUUACCUCUGUUCCCCGCAGUCCCACUUUACCACACUUACCACUUCACACUUACGAUACUAGUGUGUGUGAAGGCGUGUCAGUGUGGUUUUAAUUCACAUUUCCAUAACUACACCUUUUCAUGUGCUUGUUGACCAUUUAUACGUCUUAUCUGGUGUCUUUUGUCCAUUUUAAAAGUUGGGUGUCUUCUUGUUGAGGUACAAGAUCUCCAUGUUUCCUAGGUAACAGGCUCUUAUCAGAUGUACAGUGUGCAAAUAUAUUCUUCCAUUCUGUGGCUUUUUCUGGUUGGCAUCUUUUGAUGCAGAAACAUUUUUUAAUUUUGAGGAAAUCUAUCUAUUCUUUCAUUGCUUGUACUUUGGUGUCACAUCUAAGAAGCCAUUGCUAAAUCCAAAAUCAUGAAGAUUAUCUCCAUCUACUCUUCUAAAGUUUAUAAUUUUACCUGUUACAUUUAAGCCUUUUAUCUAUUUUGAGUUAAUUUUUAUAUAUGGUGUGAGUUAAGGGUUCGGUUUUAUUCCUCCACACGUGGAUAGCCAGUUACCGAGCACCAUUUGUUGAAAAGACCAUUAUUUCCCCAAAUUAAUGCUGUCUACCUUUGUCAGAAAUCAAGUGAGUCUAGAUGGUUGGGGUUAUUUCUGGGCUUUCCAUUCAUUUCCAUUGAUCUACAUAUACUGUAUUACAUACUGUAUUCUUAUGAUAAAAUAAACUAGAGAAAAUAAAAUGUUUUAAAUUGUCAUAAAUCUUAAAAAAUUUUUAAAUAUAUUUGUGGGAAAAAACCUGCUUAAGUGGACCUAUGCAGUUCAUACCCAUGCUGUCCAGUGGUCAACUGUGUAUCUUUAUGCCAGUGUCACAAUGUUUUAUUUAUACUUUUUACUAAAUUUGAUAUUGGGAAGCAAAAGCCUCCAGCUUUGAUUUUCUUUUUCAAGACUGUGUUCAAGGGCUCUUUGGGGUCCCUUGAAAUUCCAUAUGAGUUAGACUCAGCUUGCACAUUUCUUCCCAAAAGGCUUUGGGAAUUUUCAUAGGAAUCACAUUAAAUCUGUUCCCAUUGCCAUCUUAACAGUAUUUGUCUUUCCAUCACCAUGAGAGGUCUUUACAUUUAUUUAGCUUUUCUUUAGUUUUUUAAAUCGAUGUUUUAUAAUUUUUAAUGUACAAGUUUUGCACCUUGAUUAAAUCUAUUCCCAUUUUAUGAAUGUUGACAUUAUUUAAUUGUAAUUAAAAAAAUUAUUUUUGAAACUAUUCACUGCUAGUGUAUACAAAUAAAACAAGAUAUUUGAA